UACGAAGGGGGCUAGCGUUGCUCGGAAUGACUGGGCGUAAAGCGUGCGCAGGCGGUUAUGUAAGACAGGUGUGAAAUCCCCGGGCUCAACCUGGGAACUGCAUUUGUGACUGCACGGCUGGAGUGCGGCAGAGGGGGAUGGAAUUCCGCGUGUAGCAGUGAAAUGCGUAGAUAUGCGGAGGAACACCGAUGGCGAAGGCAAUCCCCUGGGCCUGCACUGGACGCUCAUGCACGAAAGCGUGGGGAGAAACAGG
rnacentral:rRNA from 1 species